rnacentral:rRNA from 1 species
CCAAGGAGUCUAACAUGUGUGCGAGUCGUAGGGAAGUUCUCAGACUAAACCCGAAGGCGUAAUGAAAGUGAAGGUCGGCAAAUCGUCGACCAAGGCGGGAUCCGUUCGGGCUUACGGUUCGGCCGAGCUCGGCGGCGCACCGCCGGCCCGUCUCGACCACUGAGUUGGUGAGGUGGAGCAAGAGCACACACGUUGGGACCCGAAAGAUGGUGAACUAUGCCUGGGCAGGACGAAGCCAGAGUAAUGUCUGGUGGAGGUCCGCAGCGAUUCUGACGUGCAAAUCGAUCGUCGGACCUGGGUAUAGUGGCGAAAGACUAAUCGAACCAUCUA